GUCACACCCACCUAUCCGGUCAGUCAGUAUCGGUGAGCGUCGAAACCACCACCGGCUUGUUUACACGAGCCACUGUGAGCACGAGCCGAGGAGUAAGGUCUCUCUCCAGCCGCAGCAGCAGCAGAAGCUUGGUUCACCGUCGGUGGGAUGAGGAGAUGUAACUCAUCGGGAAAUUUCUCCCCUGCUUCCAGUGCAACCUGUUGCCAGUACAUCGGAUAGCCCUCGUCCCGCCUCAGGACCGACUCGAUUGGUGGGAGGCUCCCCGAGAAGGCGGUGCCUGCUGCUCAGCUUCAUCUCUGUGUACACAUAAAGCGAGUGUGACCCAUAUCCACACUGAUAUUAUUAGAAAUAGUCUCUCAAUCAGUCUGGAAAUGUUGGCAUAGUAGAUUUAACCAACAGUGUAUUCAGCUACACAUGAACUGGAUGGCUUUACUAUUAAGAUUGUUCUGAAACUUCAGUGUGAUCCUCAUUUAAAUAUGUGUGUUAACCCUUC